UUCCGGUUGAUCCUGCCGGAGGCCAUUGCUAUUGGGAUUCGAUUUAGCCAUGCUAGUCGCACGAGUUCAGACUCGUGGCGAAUAGCUCAGUAACACGUGGCCAAACUACCCUUCGGAGCACGAUACCCUCGGGAAACUGAGGCUAAUAGUGCAUACCACAAUCCACCUGGAAUGAGGAUUGUGCCAAAUGCUCCGGCGCCGAAGGAUGUGGCUGCGGCCGAUUAGGUAGACGGUGGGGUAACGGCCCACCGUGCCAAUAAUCGGUACGGGUCAUGAGAGUGAGAACCCGGAGACGGAAUCUGAGACAAGAUUCCGGGCCCUACGGGGCGCAGCAGGCGCGAAACCUUUACACUGCACGCCAGUGCGAUAAGGGAAUCCCAAGUGCGCAGGCAUAGAGCCUGCGCUUUUGUACACCGUAGGGAGGUGUACGAAUAAGGGCUGGGCAAGACCGGUGCCAGCCGCCGCGGUAAUACCGGCAGCCCGAGUGAUGGCCGAUCUUAUUGGGCCUAAAGCGUCCGUAGCUGGCCGCACAAGUCCAUCGGAAAAUCCACCCGCCCAACGGGUGGGCGUCCGGUGGAAACUGUGUGGCUUGGGACCGGAAGGCGCGACGGGUACGUCCGGGGUAGGAGUGAAAUCCCGUAAUCCUGGACGGACCGCCGAUGGCGAAAGCACGUCGCGAGGACGGAUCCGACAGUGAGGGACGAAAGCCAGGGUCUCGAACCGGAUUAGAUACCCGGGUAGUCCUGGCCGUAAACAAUGUCUGUUAGGUGUGGCUCCCACUACGAGUGGGUGCUGUGCCGUAGGGAAGCCGCUAAACAGACCGCCUGGGAAGUACGUCCGCAAGGAUGAAACUUAAAGGAAUUGGCGGGGGAGCACUACAACCGGAGGAGCCUGCGGUUUAAUUGGAUUCAACGCCGG
rnacentral:rRNA from 1 species